AGCGAACGCUGGCGGCAGGCCUAACACAUGCAAGUCGAACGGACCCUUCGGGGUUAGUGGCGGACGGGUGAGUAACACGUGGGAACGUGCCUUUAGGUUCGGAAUAGCUCAUGGAUACGGGUUGGAAUGCCGACAGUGCCCUUAGGGGGAAAGAUGUAUCGCCUUUAGAGCGGCCCGCGUCUGAUUAGCUAGUUGGUGAGGGAAUGGCUCACCAAGGCGACGACCAGUAGCUGGUAUGAGAGAAUGACCAGACACAUUGGGACUGAGAAACGGCCCAAACUCCUACGGGAGGCAGCAGUGGGGAAUCUUGCGCAAUGGGCGAAAGCCUGACGCAGCCAUGCCGCGUGGAUGAUGAAGGUCUUAGGAAUGUAAAAUCCUUUCACCGGUGAAGAUAAUGACUGUAGCCGGAGAAGAAGCCCCGGCUAACUUCGUGCCAGCCGCCGCAGUAAAAC
rnacentral:rRNA from 1 species